rnacentral:rRNA from 1 species
AACGAACGCUGGCGGCAUGCCUAACACAUGCGAGUCGAACGAGACCUUCGGGUCUAGUGGCGCACGGGUGCGUAACGCGUGGGAACCUGCCCUUAGGUUCGGAAUAACUCCCCGAAAGGGGUGCUAAUACCGGAUAAUGUCUUCGGACCAAAGAUUUAUCGCCUUUGGAUGGGCCCGCGUUGGAUUAGCUAGUUGGUAGGGUAAAAGCCUACCAAGGCGACGAUCCAUAGCUGGUCUGAGAGGAUGAUCAGCCACACUGGGACUGAGACACGGCCCAGACUCCUACGGGAGGCAGCAGUGGGGAAUAUUGGACAAUGGGCGAAAGCCUGAUCCAGCAAUGCCGCGUGAGUGAUGAAGGCCUUAGGGUUGUAAAGCUCUUUUACCCGGGAUGAUAAUGACAGGACCGGGAGAAUAAGCUCAGGCUAACUCCGU